UACGAGGGGAGCAAGUGUUGUUCGGAUUUAUUGGGCGUAAAGGGAGUGUAGGCGGGCAUCUAAGUCAGAGGUGUAAUUCCAGGGCUCAACCCUGGGCUUGCCUUUGAGACUGGAUGUCUUGAGUAUGGAAGAGGGCGAUGGAAUUCCUGGUGUAGCGGUGGAAUGCGUAGAUAUCAGGAGGAACACCAAUAGCGAAGGCAGUCGCCUGGGACAAUACUGACGCUGAAACUCGAAAGCAUGGGGAGCAAACAGG
rnacentral:rRNA from 1 species